UACGGAGGGGGCUAGCGUUGUUCGGAAUUACUGGGCGUAAAGCGCACGUAGGCGGCUUUGCAAGUUAGAGGUGAAAGCCCGGGGCUCAACUCCGGAAUUGCCUUUAAAACUGCAUCGCUAGAAUUGUGGAGAGGUAAGUGGAAGUUCCGAGUGUAGAGGUGAAAUUCGUAGAUAUUCGGAAGAACACCAGUGGCGAAGGCGACUUACUGGACACAUAUUGACGCUGAGGCGCGAAAGCGUGGGGAGCAGAACGG
rnacentral:rRNA from 1 species